rnacentral:lncRNA from 1 species
CGGUCCACAACCUCUGCCACCCACCCCCAGCUACGGGGCUCCCUCAGGAUCAGUGCCGGCAGAAGACUUUGAAAAGGCCAUUCACUCAAGGACGAUGGUGCUCUUGGGAACAAAGAGCAGACUGGCCGGCAGAGCUCCCUCUGGCUGCUCGAAGCCGCGGCGGCUGUGAUGUCACAGGAGCAGCAGAGAGAGGCACAGGGAUGCGCAUGGACGGCGCCCCAAGGCAGCGGAACCUGCAGCGGGAUGCUCUGGCUUGUGCGACACACGGUUGCACUGUGCACACGCAGCUCCCACAGUGGAGCUUCUGUGAGUGGCCCCGAACCUGUGCCUUCCCACCUCGCUGUGGUCGUCACUGCACCAGACAGCGGAGAUCCUCCCGUAGCUUGUGUGUGAACCUUGCAGACAUGCACCUUCGGUACGCACUUGCAGACUCUACCCAGCAAGACGGGCUGCAUCCAUUGGGCUCUGGCUGUGUGCUCAGCCCGCUGGAGACGUGGGCUCCCAGAAUGUGGCGGGGGCGUGGCUGAGCCUGGCCUUGGCUUCCGUUCUCACGUCUUCCUUCCCUGGAGGGUUGUCAGAUGGACCAAUUAAUCCAAGUGCAGAAACCCUCUUCAUAGGACUUAACGUGUUUACAGUUUUAUUUCCUUGUGACAUUUUCAUCAAUGGAGAGAGAAAAACAGUGAAAGAAGGAGACUCGUGUGAGGUAUGAAAAUAACACAGAAACACCUGACUCUUGACCAAAAUGUGUUCACUUGAAAGCAAGUCUUUGUACAACGUCCGCACAUCGGGGUCGAUGGAGACCUCUGGGCGGAGGGCCAGAGCGGGUGAGGGGCGCAGGUGCUCUGUGAAUGGCUUGUUGUUGUUCUCAAACCCUUAAUCCUGCUUUUAACCCAAGUGGGCAGUUUUGCAGUGGAGGGUCACACAGGUGUCUUCAAUGCAGAUGAAAAUGAAAACAGUCGUGAGUCUUUGACUGUCUGACCCGGGGAGGAAACAUGCACAGAAGGAAAGUUUGCUCUGACUGUCCUUGCAGAUCAGAUGGGGAAGGGCUUCAGAAGUUUGAAAACUGACAGCUUUGCCAACAAGGAAACGGGUGCUCCUGUGGCCAGACGGGGACUCGGCACACCACCCGGAAGCAUCGUAAAUACUGAUAGGCACAUACACACAGACCAAGCUACAUGCUCCUCGAUGAUGUCUCAGAGCAUAAGGGGAUCCUGGGACCAGAAGCAUAAGGACUGAUGCUCAGACCCUUCUGCACUAAACUAACCAGACUCCUUGGAGAAACGGCUGAUUCCAGGCGUGGAGCAGGGAAAGCGCGAGACGUUCUUCUGUGAGAAAGGCCUUUCCCUCGUCAGCUGAGGAUGGACCCCAGUUCCUCUAAGAAGGCAGGACAGCAGGACAACUUCAGUAACCGGUUUCAGAGUAGAAGUAGAUAUGAUGGUCUCAUGGUCACCUCCAGGGGCAGCUCAAAUUCCCUAAGGAAUGAACUGUGGUCUCUGUGUGUCAGUGCCAAAUUCUGAGAAAGACGCUCUGACCGUCCCCACCUGGACUGGUUGUCCAGCCUGCGUCCAUCAACUGCAGCCGGAAGACAAGCCUGUGUGGAACGAGCGGGAGCCUCGCUCAGCCCUGCAGCCACAGCCGGGCGCGAGCAGCUCUCGGAGGAGGCGCCGGCUGCACGGUGGCUGCAGUAGCCAGUCCUGGGUGAAUUCAUGCCCUCCCUCCCGCCGGCCCACCCUCAUCCCCCAAACAAACAUGAAAGUUAAAUGCCACCAAGACCUGUGCCACCAGACAAUACGUGGACGUAGAGAGAUCAUGGUUAACUAUCGUGUUCUCAGUGUGGCUGUGCUUUUCAGGUUACGGAAUUUCUUUAAUUUGCACCUUUAAGUUUAAUAUUUAGGACUUAAUAAAUAAGUUAUCCAUACAGGGAAAAAAAUUCCAGAAACACCAUGUGCUCCUGUGCGUUUCUGGACGUGACGUGAAACAUGCCCACCGGGCAUCUUGCCAGGUAAGAAAGAGUCGUGCAUGUCCCCCUGCAAGUCCCUGACAUUUCCAUCUUUAAGAAAACAACAGUCUAAGUCACCUGGAAAAUCUCCCCUUGGUCAUUAAAGAGGAUCAUUGUCUUAGCUUCUCUCUAAUGCAGCAUAUUCACUAAAGAGAAAAACUAAAUAUUGACAGAAAACGGGCUGGAGAUUGGCAACAAUUUGUUCCAUCAGAAGGUGAAAAGCUGCUUUCUGUCCGCUUCCCGCUGGUCGUUUCUCUCACCUGGGUGAAGUCCAAAGCAACAGAAGAUGCAGGAUCCUUCCUUACAACCACAAUGCUGACUGAGCGUUCCCAAGUCACUUCCAUCAGCAACGGGCGGUCGGCACUCGUCUCCCUCCGGCCCGUGGAGACCGACCCUUGCAUUUGUGAACAGCUGGUGGAAGCCCGUCCCCACAGAGUCACAGGCACCGUGUUCUGAGCACUGCCUUUUGCAGGAGGGGCAUCAUCUCCUUCAAUCCUCGUGGAGACAGUGGCCGCCCCAGAUACCGCUGCAAUCGCUGGCCGGGUCAUCGGCCUCAUUUUUACACCAGAGGAAAUGCAGCUGAGCAGGACGAGUCUUGUUACCUCCUUCUCCCCAGCAGUCGGCACCUAUCUGUGGAUCAAUAAAUGUUGAAUUAAGAUGAAGACAAUUGAGCUCUCUCAACCAGAUAUUUCAGGAGUCCCAAGCAGAUCUAAGACCAGUAAAUAGGAGGAGGGAUAAACUCCCACUGAACUGACCUGAAGCGCCGAUUCAGCCAGGCGGGUCGGAACUGAGUUCAUCUUCUCUCAACUGUGGCUUUUUGUGUGGUGAGUAACUGUCUUAGGAAAGACCAAGGGACCCGAGAUUCAGCGAUGCCGUCAACCCCACAGGCGAGGGAGAGCAGGGAUUUCCAGUGACCAUCCUCACCUGCCGACAUCCUCACCGUCUGUCCCCCGGGAUGGCUUGAAUGCAGCCAUUGGAUGGGUUAACACAAGCCCACGGCUCAGUCACAUCCUCUCCUCUGCUAAUAAUGUGCUCCCAGACGGCUGCUCCUUGGCUCCACGCAGCCGAGGAGCUCCACUGGCGGGUGGGUCCCCUCCACACCGCCUCCCACCCGUCGCGAAGGAUGCUCUCUUCAGAUUAACCCGUCUCCACGUCAGCCCUGGUGUCUGGCACGGAGCUGGGCUCAGGAAACGUGUCGGAUAAGUGAACGAAUGGAUUGAAUGGACAAAUGUUGACAGAACACUCCUUCGUACCUGCUGUUUAGUCCUACACGAAACACAGAAGGCAAAUAAAUCACAGUCUUUCCACGAAGUACUUAGAAUUUGGAAGGGGACAAACACACGCCCAGCCAUCAGCCUUGUUGACACCGUUAGCACCACCAGUCUGACAGAUCUAACAUGACGCCACCUGUGUGGCCCUGCCUCUGUCUACACAGAUGCAAAGGGUCGUGGUGAAGCUGGAGUCAAGUGAAUCCCACGUGCAAAUGCUAACACACUCCGAGAACUGGGAGAUUAAACAUCUGUGGACACAGGACACCUCACCAGGUGGCGUUGGCUUAACAGAAAUGAAGGUGGCGUUCCUUUCUCAUUUCUGACAGGUCUGGUCCCGAUUCUCAAAGUAUAUGGAUUUCGAACAGCCUGAGCCGUGGUGCCCCUUCCAUCCCUCAGGCGGUUGAACGGCCAUGUGCAGGUCCCCAGUGGAAACAGGCGCUCUCCACCACACUGGGACAGGGCGGCAGGGGGACUGGAGACAGCGAGCAACAAGGCACUGGAUCCUCACAGAGAAAUAGAGGAUCUGAACACAGGUUUUCAGGAGUAAAGGGCCUGUGAUUCCCUUGCAGAAAUGAGCUGGUUUUCAGCAGGGACUGGAAGACCAUCAGUGUUGCUGCUCCCGUCACUGCUGUGGCCGUCCUGUCAUCUGCACGUCGGUGAUGCCGGCACUUCCUGAAAAUGCUACUGGAGUCGGUGGGAUGGUUCACAACCACAGGAUGCCCUCCUUCCAAGGACUCACCUACCUCCACCGCCUCCCACGUCACCUUUGACUUAGACCUGCUCCCUGGCACCUGCACCAAAACCAGCCCCACAGAGGUCCAGGCGCCCGAAGUUCCCCUCAGUGACACGAACAACUGAAAGUGAAAACUCUGAGGUAACACUGUUUGCUGAGAGAGAAGUCGCCUCUCUGGUCCUUGUUUCCAUUUGUCAGUGGGAUGGCAAUACAGUUGUUCUAAAUUCCCAGGGGUCGCCCAAGAAAUAAAAACAUUGUUUGGGCUGCAGGAUCAGGGCCUGAGGGUGCGGGUCUUUUAUCCACAGACGUUAGAUAAUGAGGCUUUGAAAGGAAGCCCUGAUUGAUUGUCUGAACUAGCAAGAAUCUUCUCGUCAGAGCAAAAGAAAUGAAAUGAGUAAGUGGAUUUGGUCUUGGGAAAAAUAAGCAUCUUUCUCACUAACACGUGUGUAAGGAAGUACUCAAUAGACGUUUGACAGAAGAAUGAACGACCACUAAGUCAGCUCAGCACAGAUUUAGAAUUUUCAAACCAGUUGGGACUUUAUUCAAGUUUGUCAGCUUUCCACAAAGGAGCAAAGGCGCAAGCAAUGAAGGCCGUGGAGGAUCUUGGCCAAAUAUUUCACGAUUCUUUCAUUCAUCAGUUUUGACCAGGAUUUUAUCACACAUUUAACUUUGCAUAUUUUUUCCUUUAUCAGUUUCCCAGAUUGAGUCUUAUAAAUAUUUAAUUUCUGUUUUAAAAAAUUUGGUUGUGUAUAGACCACUAUGUACUGGGGCUUUGGGGAGGGAAAAGGGAGAGAAAAAAAAGGAGGAAUAUUGGCAACAGAUGAUAACUUAGGGCAAAUCUUCCCUGGCAAAAAAACAAAAACAUUGGUUGUAUUUUAUAUAUAAAAUUUAAUCAAUUAGGCAUUCUUGUAACUUAAAUUUUCUCACUAAGAAGACUAAUAUAUUUUGAAUAUGCCUUUGGUGCAAUAUUUUGGCUAUACCUAACAAAAAAUGCUCUACUUCACA